CCUUUUUUCCAUCACUCUCUCAAUUUCCUUCACCUAAUUAGGUUCCACAACCCAAUUCUAAGUUCGGAAUUUAGUGGGUAGACUCUAAUAGAGGUCUGAGAUUGUGUUCGUGAGGAGAUUUCGAGGAAUCAGGAAGCUACAAAUGGAUUUCUAUAAACCCUAAUUUCGUUUGAUUAAGUGAUGAUGAACAGAGCAACAAACGAUGAUUGAAUGAUGCAAACAAGCAAACUUCGAUAAGCGGCGAAUCGCAGAUGAAAACCAGUAGUGACGACAAGGACAAUAUCGAAACUCCAAAGUAAGGAGGGUUAAAAUCUUUUUGGUUAGUAGUAUUGCUUCGUGCACGAAAAAAAAAGAAAAAAAAAACAAAAAGAAAUCUCUUCAAAAUUUCUUCGUUUUUCAUGUAUAUAAAUAAGAAAAUGCCAAGAUUUAAUUUUCCUUUUUAAAGAA